UACGUAGGUGGCAAGCGUUGUCCGGAUUUACUGGGCGUAAAGAGCGCGCAGGCGGCUGGGCAAGUCCGAUGUGAAAGCUUCCGGCUUAACUGGAAAAUUGCAUCGGAAACUGCUCGGCUUGAAGGUGGGAGAGGGUAGCGGAAUUCCCGGUGUAGUGGUGGAAUGCGUAGAUAUCGGGAGGAACACCAGUGGCGAAGGCGGUUGCCUGGAGCUUUGCUGACGCUGAUGCGCGAAAGCGUGGGGAGCGAUCCGG
rnacentral:rRNA from 1 species